rnacentral:rRNA from 1 species
AGUAGGAUAGGCGAAGCGUGCUGUUGGAGUGCACGUCCAAGCAGUAAGGCUGAGUGUUAGGCAAAUCCGGCACUCAUAAGGCUGAGCUGUGAUGGGGAGAGGAAAUUGUUUCCUCGAGUCGUUGAUUUCACACUGCCGAGAAAAGCCUCUAGAUAGAUAACAGGUGCCCGUACCGCAAACCGACACAGGUAGUCAAGAUGAGAAUUCUAAGGUGAGCGAGCGAACUCUCGUUAAGGAACUCGGCAAAAUGACCCCGUAACUCGG